GGCGCGUUGGUCCAGCGGUACGGAUCCCCGGUUCUCACCCGGGAGACCCGGGUUCGACUCCCGGACGCGCUACCG
rnacentral:tRNA from 1 species